rnacentral:rRNA from 1 species
AGAGUUUGAUCAUGGCUCAGGAUGAACGCUAGCGGCAGGCUUAAUACAUGCAAGUCGAGGGGCAGCGCAGUGUAGCAAUACAUGGGCGGCGACCGGCAAACGGGUGCGGAACACGUACACAACCUUCCUUUAAGCGGGGAAUAGCCCGGGGAAACCCGGAUUAAUACCCCCAUAGUAUAUUGAAGAGGCAUCUCUUUAUUAUUAAAGAUUUAUCACUUGAAGAUGGGUGUGCGGCUGAUUAGCUAGUUGGCGGGGUAAUGGCCCACCAAGGCAACGAUCAGUAACUGGUGUGAGAGCACGACCAGUCACACGGGCACUGAGACACGGGCCCGACUCCUACGGGAGGCAGCAGUAAGGAAUAUUGGUCAAUGGACGCAAGUCUGAACCAGCCAUGCCGCGUGGAGGAUGAAGGUCCUCUGGAUUGUAAACUUCUUUUAUCUGGGACGAAAAAAGGUUUUUCUAGACCGACUGACGGUACCAGAUGAAUAAGCACCGGCUAACUCCGUGCCAGCAGCCGCGGUAAUACGGAGGGUGCAAGCGUUAUCCGGAUUCACUGGGUUUAAAGGGUGCGUAGGUGGAUUAGUAAGUCAGUGGUGAAAUCUCCGGGCUUAACCCGGAAACUGCCAUUGAUACUAUUAGUCUUGAAUACCGUGGAGGUCAGCGGAAUAUCAUGUAGCGGUGAAAUGCUUAGAUAUGACAUAGAACACCAAUUGCGAAGGCAGCUGGCUACACGAAUAUUGACACUCAGGCACGAAAGCGUGGGGAUCAAACAGGAUUAGAUACCCUAGUAGUCC